GAGUUUGAUCUUGGCUCAGAGCGAACGCUGGCGGCAGACUUAACACAUGCAAGUCGAGCGGGCGUAGCAAUACGUCAGCGGCAGACGGGUGAGUAACGCGUGGGAACGUACCUUUGGUUCGGAACAACACAGGGAAACUUGUGCUAAUACCGGAUAAGCCCUUACGGGGAAAGAUUUAUCGCCAAAAGAUCGGCCCGCGUCUGAUUAGCUAGUUGGUGAGGUAACGGCUCACCAAGGCGACGAUCAGUAGCUGGUCUGAGAGGAUGAUCAGCCACAUUGGGACUGAGACACGGCCCAAACUCCUACGGGAGGCAGCAGUGGGGAAUAUUGGACAAUGGGCGCAAGCCUGAUCCAGCCAUGCCGCGUGAGUGAUGAAGGCCCUAGGGUUGUAAAGCUCUUUUGUGCGGGAAGAUAAUGACGGCACCGCAAGAAUAAGCCCCGGCUAACUUCGUGCCAGCCGCCGCCGU
rnacentral:rRNA from 1 species